rnacentral:rRNA from 1 species
UCUGGUGAUGAUGGCAGAGGGGUCACAACCCGUUCCCAUUCCGAACACGACCGUUAAGCCCUCCUAGCGCCCGAUGGUACUUGCCCAUUCGGGCCGGGAGAGUAGGACGUUGCCAGGC